CCGGUUGAUCCUGCCGGAGGCCACUGCUAUGGGGGUCCGACUAAGCCAUGCGAGUCAUGGGGCGCGCUCUGCGCGCACCGGCGGACGGCUCAGUAACACGUCGGUAACCUACCCUCGGGAGGGGGAUAACCCCGGGAAACUGGGGCUAAUCCCCCAUAGGUCUGAGGUACUGGAAGGUCCUCAGGCCGAAAGGGGCUUUGCCCGCCCGAGGAUGGGCCGGCGGCCGAUUAGGUAGUUGGUGGGGUAACGGCCCACCAAGCCGAAGAUCGGUACGGGCCAUGAGAGUGGGAGCCCGGAGAUGGACACUGAGACACGGGUCCAGGCCCUACGGGGCGCAGCAGGCGCGAAACCUCCGCAAUGCGGGAAACCGCGACGGGGGGACCCCCAGUGCCGUGGCAUCGCCACGGCUUUUCCGGAGUGUAAAGAGCUCCGGGAAUAAGGGCUGGGCAAGGCCGGUGGCAGCCGCCGCGGUAAUACCGGCGGCCCGAGUGGUGGCCGCUAUUAUUGGGCCUAAAGCGUCCGUAGCCGGGCCUGUAAGUCCCUGGCGAAAUCCCACGGCUCAACCGUGGGGCUUGCUGGGGAUACUGCAGGCCUUGGGACCGGGAGAGGCGGAGGGUACUCCUGGGGUAGGGGUGAAAUCCUAUAAUCCUAGGAGGACCGCCAGUGGCGAAGGCGCUCCGCUGGAACGGGUCCGACGGUGAGGGACGAAGGCCAGGGGAGCAAACCGGAUUAGAUACCCGGGUAGUCCUGGCUGUAAAGGAUGCGGGCUAGGUGUCGGGUGAGCUUCGGGCUCGCCCGGUGCCGAAGGGAAGCCGUUAAGCCCGCCGCCUGGGGAGUACGGCCGCAAGGCUGAAACUUAAAGGAAUUGGCGGGGGAGCACUACAAGGGGUGGAGCGUGCGGUUUA
rnacentral:rRNA from 1 species